AACGAACGCUGGCGGCAGGCUUAACACAUGCAAGUCGAGCGCCUCGCAAGAGGAGCGGCAGACGGGUGAGUAACGCGUGGGAACGUACCCUUAUCUUCGGAAUAGCUCUGGGAAGCUGGAAGUAAUACCGAAUGUGCCCUUAGGGGGAAAGAUUUAUCGGAUAAGGAUCGGCCCGCGUUGGAUUAGCUGGUUGGUGGGGUAAAGGCCUACCAAGGCGACGAUCCAUAGCUGGUCUGAGAGGAUGAUCAGCCACAUUGGGACUGAGACACGGCCCAAACUCCUACGGGAGGCAGCAGUGGGGAAUAUUGGACAAUGGGCGCAAGCCUGAUCCAGCCAUGCCGCGUGAGUGAUGAAGGCCUUAGGGUUGUAAAGCUCUUUCACCGGAGAAGAUAAUGACGGUAUCCGGAGAAGAAGCCCCGGCUAACUUCGUG
rnacentral:rRNA from 1 species